GGGCGGGACACGUGGUAUCCUGUCUGAAUAUGGGGGGACCAUCCUCCAAGGCUAAAUACUCCUGACUGACCGAUAGUGAACCAGUACCGUGAGGGAAAGGCGAAAAGAACCCCGGCGAGGGGAGUGAAACAGAACCUGAAACCGUGUACGUACAAGCAGUGGGAGCCUCUCUUUAUGGGGGGUGACUGCGUACCUUUUGUAUAAUGGGUCAGCGACUUAUAUUCUGUAGCAAGGUUAACCGCAUAGGGGAGCCGAAGGGAAACCGAGUCUUAAUUGGGCGUUAAGUUGCAGGGUAUAGACCCGAAACCCGGUGAUCUAGCCAUGGGCAGGUUGAAGGUUGGGUAACACUAACUGGAGGACCGAACCGACUAAUGUUGAAAAAUUAGCGGAUGACCUGUGGCUGGGGGUGAAAGGCCAAUCAAACCGGGAGAUAGCUGGUUCUCCCCGAAAGCUAUUUAGGUAGCGCCUCGUGAACUCAUCUCCGGGGGUAGAGCACUGUUUCGGCUAGGGGGCCAUCCCGGCUUACCAACCCGAUGCAAACUGCGAAUACCGGAGAAUGUUAUCACGGGAGACACACGGCGGGUGCUAACGUCCGUCGUGAAGAGGGAAACAACCCAGACCGCCAGCUAAGGUCCCAAAGUCAUGGUUAAGUGGGAAACGAUGUGGGAAGGCCCAGACAGCCAGGAUGUUGGCUUAGAAGCAGCCAUCAUUUAAAGAAAGCGUAAUAGCUCACUGGUCGAGUCGGCCUGCGCGGAAGAUGUAACGGGGCUAAACCAUGCACCGAAGCUGCGGCAGCGACACUUUAGUGUUGUUGGGUAGGGGAGCGUUCUGUAAGCCGUUGAAGGUGUCCUGUGAGGGGUGCUGGAGGUAUCAGAAGUGCGAAUGC
rnacentral:rRNA from 1 species